rnacentral:rRNA from 1 species
GGAACCCUGACGGACCGACGCCGCGUGAACGAAGAAGGCCGGAAGUGUAAAGUUCUUUUCUGUUCGAGGAAUAAGUGUAGGAGGAAAUGCCUACAUGGUGACGGUAGGGCAGGAAUAAGCACCGGCUAAUUACGUGCCAGCAGCCGCGGUAACACGUAAGGUGCGAGCGUUGUUCGGAAUUAUUGGGCGUAAAGGGCAUGCAGGCGGGUCGCCAAGCUCGGUAAGAAAUACCGGGGCUCAACUCCGGAGCUAUAUUGAGAACUGGCGAGCUAGAGUUGCCGAAGGGUAUCCGGAAUUCCGCGUGAAGGGGUGAAAUCUGUAGAUAUGCGGAAGAACACCGAUGGCGAAGGCAGGAUACCGGCGGACGACUGACGCUGAGGUGCGAAGGUGCGGGGAGCAAACAGGAUUAGAUACCCUGGUAGUCCGCACAGUCAACGAUGCACACUGGGCGUGUGCGCAAGAGCGUGCGUGCCGAAGCAAACGCGAUAAGUGUACCGCCUGGGGAGUAUGCCCGCAAGGGUGAAACUCAAAGGAAUUGACGGGGGCCGCACAAGCGGUGGAGCAUGUGGU